UACGUAGGGGGCAAGCGUUAUCCGGAUUUACUGGGUGUAAAGGGAGCGUAGACGGAAUUGCAAGUCUGAUGUGAAAAUCCGGGGCCCAACCCCGGAACUGCAUUGGAAACUGUAUUUCUAGAGUGUCGGAGAGGCAAGUGGAAUUCCUGGUGUAGCGGUGAAAUGCGUAGAUAUCACGCAGAACUCCGAUUGCGAAGGCAGCGCACCGGCGCCCUACUGACGCUCAGGCACGAAAGCGUGGGUAUCGAACAGG
rnacentral:rRNA from 1 species